UACGUAGGGGGCGAGCGUUGUCCGGAAUCAUUGGGCGUAAAGCGCGCGUAGGUGGCCCUGUAAGUCCGCUGUGAAAGUCAAAGGCUCAACCUUUGAAAGCCGGUGGAUACUGCAGGGCUAGAGUACGGAAGAGGCGAGUGGAAUUCCUGGUGUAGCGGUGGAAUGCGCAGAUAUCAGGAGGAACACCGGUGGCGAAGGCGGGAUCCUGGGCCAGUACUGACGCUGAGGAGCGAAAGCGUGGGGAGCAAACAGG
rnacentral:rRNA from 1 species